CUCCAAUUCGACUCUCCAAUUAUGCAAUCCUCUCCAAAAUUGGGGCUUUUCUUCACUUCAGCACUUCCCCUCGCAGUGGAUUCCACUAGGUUCUUAACCUCUUCCCAAUUCUUAAACUGAAACCUCUGAUGUCUAAUCCAACUCGGCACCUAACCAGCUUGUCAGCAUCGUAAGUUUGCCUCAACAUUCCCCCUAGAAAUACAAAAAGAAUGUAAA
rnacentral:lncRNA from 1 species